rnacentral:rRNA from 1 species
CCCUAUGGGGUGCAGCAGGCGCGAAAACUUCACACUGCGGGAAACCGCGAUGAGGGAAUUCCAAGUGUCUGGGGUAAGACCCAGUCUUUUCUUGACUCUUAAUAGGUCUUGGAAUAAGGGGGGGGUAAGACCGGUGCCAGCCGCCGCGGUAAUACCGGCCCCCCAAGUGGUCGUCACUUUUAUUGGGCCUAAAACGCCCGUAGCCGGUUUAGUAAACCCGUGGGUAAAUCAACCAGCUUAACUGGUUGAAUUCUGCGGAGACUGCUAGACUAGGGACCGGGAGAGGUACGAGGUACUCUUGGGGUAGGGGUAAAAUCCUGUCAUCCCAGGGGGACCACUUGUUGCGAAGGCGUCGUACUAGAACGGAUCCGACGGUCAGGGACGAAGCCUAGGGGCACGAACCGGAUUAGAUACCCGGGUAGUCCUAGGUGUAAACGCUGUGGACUUGGUGUUGGGGACUCUACGAGUGUCCCCAGUGCCGGAGUGAAGAUGUUAAGUCCACUGCCUGGGGAGUACGGUCGCAAGGCUGAAACUUAAAGGAAUUGGCGGGGAGCACAGCAACGAGAGGAGCGUGCGGUUUAAUUGGAUUCAACGCCGGAAAACUCACCAGUGCCGACGGACAUAUGAAGAUCAGCGUGAUGAGCUUAUUGGAUUGUUCGAGAAGUAGUGCAUGG